rnacentral:rRNA from 1 species
UUUUCCACAAUGGGCGAAAGCCUGAUGGAGCAACGCCGCGUGCAGGAUGAAUGCCUUAGGGUUGUAAAGCUCUUUCAGCUGGGAAGAUAAUGACGGUACCAGCAGAAGAAGCCCCGGCUAACUCCGUGCCAGCAGCCGCGGUAAUACGGAGGGGGCUAGCGUUGUUCGGAAUUACUGGGCGUAAAGCGCACGUAGGCGGAUUGGAAAGUUGGGGGUGAAAUCCCGGGGCUCAACCCCGGAACUGCCUCCAAAACUACCAGUCUUGAGGUCGAGAGAGGUGAGUGGAAUUCCGAGUGUAGAGGUGAAAUUCGUAGAUAUUCGGAGGAACACCAGUGGCGAAGGCGGCUCACUGGCUCGAUACUGACGCUGAGGUGCGAAAGCGUGGGGAGCAAACAGG